rnacentral:rRNA from 1 species
CAGUAGCCACGGGAAUACGUAGGUGGCAAGCGUUGUCCGGAAUUAUUGGGCGUAAAGCGCGCGCAGGUGGUUUAAUAAGUCUGAUGUGAAAGCCCACGGCUCAACCGUGGAGGGUCAUUGGAAACUGUUAAACUUGAGUGCAGGAGAGAAAAGUGGAAUUCCUAGUGUAGCGGUGAAAUGCGUAGAGAUUAGGAGGAACACCAGUGGCGAAGGCGGCUUUUUGGCCUGUAACUGACACUGAGGCGCGAAAGCGUGGGGAGCAAACAGGAUUAGAUACCCGAGUAGUCCCUGUCUCUUAUAA